CAUGAAGGUAGAAUGAACAGGUGCGUCACGAGAAAACGAUGGAAAAACAUAUAAAAACAUAGAGAAUGGAGCUACGGAUCAACCGGAAACUACGAAACAAGAUAUGGAGUCCUACGGUUCAAAUCCACCACAAGCACACUCCAAUGGCACUUCUCUGGUGUUCCCAGGUUGCCACAUGAUCAAACAAACAAAUAUAGGUGGCGUGGUGCAAAGAAACUCACCACACCACUAACAAUACUAACACAAGC
rnacentral:lncRNA from 1 species